UUGUGCUGGAAAAAAGUAAUCAUCCUUCUCCAGGAGAGGAAGAUGACAUGCACCAGAGUGACUUUCUGACCUGCUUCCAUGUAGCAGGGUUAAACAAGCCCAGGGACUGAAAGCAAGGGCUGCCUGUUCCCAACAGGAUGACCUCACAAGUGUGCAGCCCUGUGCAUCUGCAGAGGAGCAAAAGGAAGACUCAACGAGAAGUCACAGCAAGCACUGAGCCUUGCUCUUGGAUAAAGUUAAAAGGUAUAAAAAGCUGAGAAGAAGCAUAAAGAAGAAUGUGAGCUG